rnacentral:lncRNA from 1 species
GUCAGGAUCAAAAACUGGUUGGUGGCAGAGCCAGGAUAUCAAACAACGUACAUGUAUAAUACAUUGCUUACUCAUUCACUUAGUGAAUUUUUAUUUAGUUCUUACUCUAUGCUAACUACCAGAACCAUAAACUGAGGCAUGAAACAUUUUAAAGAUUACUUGAGCAAAUAUCAAUUUAAGAACUGGGUAGCUCCACUCAAGGUGGUUCAGGGGUUCCACUAAAGAAGUGUAAAGGUAAGACUUUUACAGAGUGAAUGUGGAAGCAAUAAAAAGAAAAUGUUUUUAUGUCAUGAUGAUAAAAUUGCCUUACUUGAUCUAUCUCCAUAGAAAGCCCCUAAUAAUGUAAGUUAAUCGGCUACUUCUGAUAGGAUGAGCUUACAUUCAAUUAUUAAGUUUAUGUAUUUCUUUAAUAUAGGCAUUGACAGGAAGUAGCUCAAGUUCCAUUUUGCUUACAUGUGCAAAUCAAGCAAAGUUAAGGUCUUUUUUUUAAGGCCUAGACAACUUUAUCUGCUCAGGGAUUCUUCAGGCCUGGUCUUUGUUUUUAACUUAACAGUUUUUCCAUGCAUUCUUUUAUUCUCACGAUACUAUAGCUCCAUUUGACAGAUGAGAAUGCUGAAAUUUAGAUAGAUUUUCUAGCUGGAUCAAAGUCAGUCAACAUCAGAGCUGGGGUUUGAACACAGAGGCUUGAAACAUGAAUGUUUGUGGAAGAAAUUUAAAAGGACUUGGAAGAGAUUGAAUUGUAAAAAGUGCUAAUCCCUAGCACCUUUUAGGAAUUCUUGGUACCUUCUUCCAUAUAUGAAAAUACACAAAUUGUAUAAAUUUUUUCAUCAGUAAAAUGUGGUACUACCUUCCUAGUAUGAGGAUUAAUGUGAUCAUGUAAGUAAUAUGCCUAGUGUCUCUAAGAAGGAGAGGCUGGCAGAAGGGGCGAGUGUCCUCCUCAUCCAUGCUCUUUUCAGAUCACUUUUAUUGCCUUGAGGUCCAUAGCUUCUUGCUGUAGAAACCUCUCAUCAUUCCUUGGUCCCUCAACUGUGGCUAUUAUUUUGAGGAACUGUAAAGUCUAUGUAAAGGACCAAUUCAACAGCUUGGAUCAUAGAUUUUGUGUGAUCACCUCCUCAACUACUUAUGCUACCCCCACUCCCACUUCGCCAUUACAUGGUGGACUUUGCCAUCAUGACUACAAUCACAAGUUCAUGUACCCUCCCUGGUCUAAAUGCUUGUAUUUCCUCCAAAUUCCUAUGUGGAGACCUAAUCACCAAGGUGAUAGUGUUAGGAAGUGGGACCUUUGGAAACUGAACAGAUCACAAGGGUGGAGCCUUCAAGAAUGGGAUUAAAGGGUCCUUAAGGCACCACAGAGGUCUCUUGUCACUUCAAACAUGUGAAGACACAACCAGAAAGUGGUCACUUAUCAGAUAUAGAAUCUACCUUGAUGGGGGACUUCCCGGCCUCCAGAACUGUUAAUGAACUACUCAGUCUGUGGCAUUUUAUUACAGCAGUUCUAAUACACUAAGACAUACCUUGUUCUCCAACUACACCUCCUCUCCCUCCAGCUUGCUUGAUUAAAUUGCCCUUCAAGUGGAUGGAGAAUGACUUCCCAAGACACUGAAUACAUUCUCUUUCAUUUUCCUGUUUACCUGACUUAGAUUCCAUGGUCUACCAUCACUAUCAUUGUCUUUGCCUUUUCCUCUCUACAUGGUGUACAGGACAAUUUCCUACUGACAGCAGCCCUGACCUAGG